GGGGCUGACAGGAAUCGACAGUAGAGUGUAUCAUGUCAGUAAGCAUGCCGGGGAAUGGUGGUUUACCCCGUUAUCAAAUGAUUACCGACCAAUAAUUGGCGAAACUCGUUUCGCGUUGGCUGCCUAAUUCAAGGAAUUAGCGUGCCUUCAUGCUAAGGGUUUGAUAUCUGCUAAAACCCGGUGCAUUCAUCAAUGCAGGUUAAGCCAAAGGGAUGUCCCGACCGGAGGCCGACAAUCCAGGGAACCGGAUGUCAUCACGUUGUUGCAGUACCAGAUGGCAUCUUAAAUCCGAUCUGCAAAUAAGCAUGUAGAAAGCUGAUGUGGGCUUUAGCUGGACGGGGGUUCAAUUCCCCCCGGCUCCACCA
rnacentral:tmRNA from 12 species